UACAGAGGGGGCAAGCGUUGUUCGGAAUUACUGGGCGUAAAGGGCGCGUAGGCGGCCUUCUAAGUCGAACGUGAAAUCCCCGGGCUCAACCCCGGGAACUGCGUCCGAUACUGGAAGGCUUGAAUCCGGGAGAGGGAUGCGGAAUUCCGAGGUGUAGCGGUGAAAUGCGUAGAUAUCUGGAGGAACACCGGUGGCGAAGGCGGCAGUCCUGGACCGGCAUUGACGCUGAGGCGCGAAAGCCAGGGGAGCAAACGGG
rnacentral:rRNA from 1 species